rnacentral:rRNA from 1 species
UACGAAGGGGGCUAGCGUUGUUCGGAAUUACUGGGCGUAAAGGGCGCGUAGGCGGUGUGUCAAGUCAGGCGUGAAAGCCCCGGGCUCAACCUGGGAACAGCGCUUGAGACUGGCACGCUCGAGUUCGGGAGAGGAUGGUGGAAUUCCCAGUGUAGAGGUGAAAUUCGUAGAUAUUGGGAAGAACACCGGUGGCGAAGGCGGGAUCCUGGGCCAGUACUGACGCUGAGGAGCGAAAGCGUGGGGAGCAAACAGG